GCGGGUGCUAUACAUGCAAGUCGAGCGGACAGAUGGGAGCUUGCUCCCUGAUGUUAGCGGCGGACGGGUGAGUAACACGUGGGUAACCUGCCUGUAAGACUGGGAUAACUCCGGGAAACCGGGGCUAAUACCGGAUGGUUGUCUGAACCGCAUGGUUCAGACAUAAAAGGUGGCUUCGGCUACCACUUACAGAUGGACCCGCGGCGCAUUAGCUAGUUGGUGAGGUAACGGCUCACCAAGGCGACGAUGCGUAGCCGACCUGAGAGGGUGAUCGGCCACACUGGGACUGAGACACGGCCCAGACUCCUACGGGAGGCAGCAGUAGGGAAUCUUCCGCAAUGGACGAAAGUCUGACGGAGCAACGCCGCGUGAGUGAUGAAGGUUUUCGGAUCGUAAAGCUCUGUUGUUAGGGAAGAACAAGUGCCGUUCAAAUAGGGCGGCACCUUGACGGUACCUAACCAGAAAGCCACGGCUAACUACGUGCCAGCAGCCGCGGUAAUACGUAGGUGGCAAGCGUUGUCCGGAAUUAUUGGGCGUAAAGGGCUCGCAGGCGGUUUCUUAAGUCUGAUGUGAAAGCCCCCGGCUCAACCGGGGAGGGUCAUUGGAAACUGGGGAACUUGAGUGCAGAAGAGGAGAGUGGAAUUCCACGUGUAGCGGUGAAAUGCGUAGAGAUGUGGAGGAACACCAGUGGCGAAGGCGACUCUCUGGUCUGUAACUGACGCUGAGGAGCGAAAGCGUGGGGAGCGAACAGGAUUAGA
rnacentral:rRNA from 1 species